GAUUUUUUGAAACAUUUUUCAAAGUAGGAAGGUUAUGAAAAAUAAAUUAAAUGCAAACGUAGAUCGAAAAUUCCUUAAGUAAAGAAAAUCCACUAUAUUUUAAUGAAUGGAAUUUCAAGCAUGUAUGAGCUUUUGAAGAUUGUGAAUCCCGCUUGUAUUAGUAAAAUAUCAAAUAAAUUCAAGAUGCGUUAAAAAUUUCUUAUUUUAAUGUACACAUUAUAAUGGUUGAAACUGUAUACUAGUAAUUUGAACUGAACUUAAUAAUAUUAUGACUUCAGGAAGAAAUAAAUCAGUGAAUUGGAAAAAUUAAUAUUUGCUGUUAUGGUCAUUGAAUUUCUAUAUUAUGUAGCUAAUUUUCAUUGGAAUUAUCAUAUGAAGUA